rnacentral:tRNA from 1 species
CGGAGCGUGGCGCAGCCCGGUAGCGCACUUGCAUGGGGUGCAAGGGGUCGCGAGUUCAAAUCUUGUCGCUCCGACCA